rnacentral:lncRNA from 1 species
GUUGCUCUUCCUCUUCCUCUUCUUCCUUCUGCCAAACCUCACAAAAUCCACAUCAACCAUAGAAUCUCCCCUAACUCUAUCUCAUCUUAGUUAUAUCUUCCAACUAGGAGCUGAUUUCAACCUAAAAGUUGAACCCCAAAUUUGAACCGGACCCUAGCCAAGGCGCGACUCACCACCUCCGUUGUCGGCCUCCACAACGAAGCCACAGU